AAACAAAGUCUGCAUUGCUCUGUGUUUGCCUUUGAAAACCAUCUAGCUCUCAAAGCCUGACAUAUUUCUCUGGCUAAAAGGGAAGAAACAUAUCGGCACUCAUGUUGGGAAGACCUUAGAACAGCAAAGUACUAAAACUUGCCAAACCAACUUCAAGUGGCUUUCUUGUGACUGCGGUGCAAUACACACUACACUAAGUUCCUGAGCAUAAUAUUUCCACCCUUUGCCAUGGAGUCUGCUUAAAUUUGAAGAUCUUUUUCUAGUAGGUGUAUUGUCCUUAAUUUUAGAGGAAGUUUAAAAAAGGUGGAUUAAUGCUAUAUAUGCUUUCGAGAAUAUUAUGCAACCAUGAAGCUUUGCACUUCAACAUAAAUGAAUCCCAAAAAGAGCCAGCUGAACCGUUGGCUGGCCGGCAGAGCCAUAGGAUGUUUCAAAUUCAUCAUGACUUCACAUAAAGGUCCUCUCUGGAGUAUGAAAGUCAAUUUUGCAGGUGUAUAAUAAAGGAAAAGAAGAGAGUCUGAAAGUCAAAAGAAAUUCCAGGACCACCUGUAUUUCAGUGAGGAAAAGAACGUCCUCAGACCAAAACAACAACAGCGAAGACAAAAAACUGUUUCCAUUUGGAAGGAGGACCAAAAGGAAGGAAUAAGACUCUAAAGAAACAGCAUAUACAGACUGGGUUUACUUGUGCUAUGUCCAUCAAGAUACUCAAGUUACUAGAAUGUUACAUUUCGGAGCCUCACUUAUAGAAGAACCUUGCCCUGAAAGAAAGAUGAGGGGAAAUAACUUCAGAUCAAGAUGCAAGAGACCUGAGCUAUAGUUCCUGCUCUGCCACUUAUCAUGUCUGGGUCUUCUGCCAAAGUUCUAAGAAAUGCCAGCACUGAGAAGAGAAAGAGGAGGCUGUUUCUGUUGAUCCCAACCCUACAUUAGAAGGGAUAUUGUCAUGGCUAUGGUAACUGGUAGCAAGACAGUGGCCAUCCCUACACUUCUGUUAUGUGGCAGCAUGAUCAUUAUUACAUAAUUAAAUUGUUUAUGUUUUACACAUCUGUUUUGUUCUAUGAGAGAUUAUCACGAAUACUCUUUGGUUAUCCCUGGUUGAAGAUCAUUAGUAUUUAAUCAAAUAAGUUUAGUGUGGCUAAUUCUUACUUUUAAGCAAUUUGUUGAAUUAAAUCAUUAUGAAGAUCAGAAUUCCAAUUUGGACAUUUGUUUUCUUCCUUCAGUUAUGAUUUUAUAGUGCAGAUGUGGGGAGUGUCUUCAAGGGAAAGAAAUAAGU